UCAAACACAGCUGGUCGUCAUGUCAAGUCAAUGUCAAUUCAAUUGUCAAAAUGAUUUGUGGUUUGUAAUUUGUAUUUUGCGGGUUUCUAAGUUUAUAAAUAUAAUUGUUAAAUAAUUACCUCUUCUUGCUUUAUUUGUUUGUUGCUUAACAUUUAAAUAUAAUCACGCCAUUAGAUCAUUGAGUUCGAAUUCAGCGCAAAUCAUUAAUAAUAAUCUAAAACAAUGUUGAAAGGACUGGUGAGUACGUUAAUCAUUUUUGGAACUGGUAUCUACACUGGUGUAUACAUAGCACAAAAUUAUCAGACUGCAGUUGAUUGGUAUUGCAAGAAAACAUCUGAUGCCUGUAGCAAGGAUAAGAAAAAAUAAGAACUUUUCUGUAUAUGCAAUGCAAAAAAAUUAUUUGAACCAAGAAUACAAAUACAUGGCUUCACAAAAAUGAUAAUCAUGAUGAUUGUGUAGAUAGAAAAGGUAGAAGAUCCCAAAGCACUAUUCGAAAAGGCUCAGUGUUAUAUUAGAACAAAAAUGGAAGAAAUGAGCAAGAAGGGCAAAGAUUGAAACAGCUACAUGUACAUCUAUGAAUUUAUUUUUCUGUAAAUAACAUUUACUAUUAAAUAUGAUUUUAAAAUAAAUAAAGAUAGCAGUAUACAUAAA